GCUAGGCAGUUGAUUAACGCAUUGUUAAACCGAGACCCAUCCAGCCGUUUAGGGUCGAGGACUGGCACCACUGAAAUUAAACAACACCCUUUCUUCCAUGGCAUUAAUUGGCCUCUUAUACGCUACACGAGCCCACCGCCAUUGGAAGUACCUCUUCAUUUAACCAAGAAAGAUACAAGUACCAAAUACGUAAAGUGGGAAGAAGUGCUUGUUAGUUCUAUUGACAUGGAUACUUUCUUCUAAAGUACGACAAAAAACAAGAUGCUUCCCAGUA